AUCCAACUGACGAGUCCCAAAUAGGACGAAACAUGUGUCCUAGAU
rfam:Schistosoma mattheei strain Denwood, Zambia genome assembly, scaffold: SMTD_scaffold0003399